GCCGGCGUAGCUCAGGCUGGCAGAGCGCGGGACUCAUAAUCCCGUCGCCGUGGGUUCGAGUCCCACCGCCGGCACCA
rnacentral:tRNA from 1 species